UACGAAGGGGGCUAGCGUUGUUCGGAAUUACUGGGCGUAAAGCGCGCGCAGGCGGUCUUCCAAGCCAGUGGUGAAAGCCCGGAGCUCAACUUCGGAACUGCCAUUGAAACUGUUAGACUUGAGGACGAGAGAGGUGAGUGGAAUUCCCAGUGUAGAGGUGAAAUUCGUAGAUAUUCGCAAGAACACCAGUGGCGAAGGCGGCUCACUGGCCCGGUACUGACGCUGAGGUGCGAAAGCGUGGGGAGCAAACAGG
rnacentral:rRNA from 1 species